rnacentral:tRNA from 1 species
GGGAAUGUGGCUUAGUGGUAGAGUGCUUACCUGGCAUGCAUGAAGCCCUAGGUUCCAUUCCUUAGUCCUA